AAGGUAGACGGCUGGCACCUUAUAAGUUCAGUCAAUACAAAGUAAACAAGGAGCCUAGUAUG
rnacentral:sRNA from 1 species